AAGCCGAUGAGCCCCUCUGGGCUCGUGUUGGGCCUCGCCUCCCCGUGGAGCGUGGCCUCGAAAGGAUAGGUCGAAGGAGCGGACGUGAUCCAGUAGGACUGACCGUUCCGGGACCCUAAAUCUCAG
rnacentral:misc_RNA from 1 species